AACGAACGCUGGCGGCAGGCCUAACACAUGCAAGUCGAACGCUCCGCAAGGGGAGUGGCGCACGGGUGAGUAACACGUGGGAACCUACCUUCUGGUACGGAACAACCAAGGGAAACUUUGGCUAAGACCGUAUACGACCUCCGGGUGAAAGAUUGAUCGCCGGAAGAGGGGCCCGCGUCCGAUUAGGUAGUUGGUGAGGUAACGGCUCACCAAGCCUUCGAUCGGUAGCUGGUCUGAGAGGAUGACCAGCCACACUGGGACUGAGACACGGCCCAGACUCCUACGGGAGGCAGCAGUGGGGAAUAUUGGACAAUGGGCGCAAGCCUGAUCCAGCCAUGCCGCGUGAGUGAUGAAGGCCUUCGGUUG
rnacentral:rRNA from 1 species